rnacentral:rRNA from 1 species
ACUUUAUUACAAUUUCUUCGGAAUGACGAUUUAGUGACUGAGUGGCGGACGGGUGAGUAACGCGUGGGUAACCUGCCUUAUACAGGGGGAUAACAGUUGGAAACGGCUGCUAAUACCGCAUAAGCGCACAGUACCGCAUGGUACGGUGUGAAAAACUCCGGUGGUGUGAGAUGGACCCGCGUCUGAUUAGCUAGUUGGUGAGGUAACGGCCCACCAAGGCGACGAUCAGUAGCCGGCCUGAGAGGGUGAACGGCCACAUUGGAACUGAGACACGGUCCAAACUCC